GGACGAACGCUGGCGGCGUGCUUACCACAUGCAAGUCGAACGGAAAGGCCCUGCUUUUGUGGGGUGCUCGAGUGGCGAACGGGUGAGUAACACGUGAGUAACCUGCCCUUGACUUUGGGAUAACUUCAGGAAACUGGGGCUAAUACCGGAUAGGAGCUCCUGCUGCAUGGUGGGGGUUGGAAAGUUUCGGCGGUUGGGGAUGGACUCGCGGCUUAUCAGCUUGUUGGUGGGGUAGUGGCUUACCAAGGCUUUGACGGGUAGCCGGCCUGAGAGGGUGACCGGCCACAUUGGGACUGAGAUACGGCCCAGACUCCUACGGGAGGCAGCAGUGGGGAAUAUUGCACAAUGGGCGGAAGCCUGAUGCAGCAACGCCGCGUGCGGGAUGACGGCCUUCGGGUUGUAAACCGCUUUCGCCUGUGACGAAGCGUGAGUGACGGUAAUUGGUAAAGAAGCACCGGCUAACUACGUG
rnacentral:rRNA from 1 species